UAUACAACUGAAGAACGUAAUCAUUCAUGCCUGAUGAAUCACGCUUUCUUUGUAACCGAGCGGCGCUUUAUUUGAUCACUUAUGGUAAUUAAAGCCAAAGGACUCUGAUGAUGGAAUAACAAAGCAUGUGGAUUCCAAAGAACCAUAUAUUAUAGUAUAUAUUUCAAUAUGUACAUUAAUGACAAGCCAAAACAUGAACUAUGAUGAAGUUUAAAUCUGACCGUGAUACAGGCAGGCAGCCUCUGAACUUAUUGCCACCAACUAACGAAUGCCAGUCUGGCCAUAUGUGCUAUAAAAAUCCAGAUGGUUACCAUACAGCCAUACAAUCACAAGAGGAGCUGUGGUAAAGUUCACACAAGGUGUACCCUUGCUAAACAUGCUUGGUUGGGAAAUUUGAAUUGUGUUCUCAUGUUAUUGCAAUAUAUUCUGAACCUACUUAUGUUGGGAAACUCAAAAUAAAGCCUGCUUCUG